UGAAGAAUCGCUGAGUGUAUAUAAGGGGUAUAUCCCAAGUCAAUCGUCAGUAUUUUACACCGUCCAGUGAGAUAUUCUACCAAUAUGAGAACCGCCUGUGUCACCCUUUUUGUUGUCGUCGUCGCCCUGGGCCUCAGCGCCUGUCUUGGGCAGGAUUGGGAUGAUGUUUACGAUGACGAUAACUACUAUGGUGUUCCAUAGGUUUCGAGCGGAUAUCCGAUGGGAUACGGAGGUGGAUACGGAGGUGGAUACGUCGGUGGAUACGGAAAGGGAUACGGAGGCGCUGUUGUCAGUGCCCCCUACGCCGCUCCUAUGCCAAUGUAUAUGCCACCCCCACCUGCAAUGUCCGUGGGAGGAUUCGGUGGCGAUAGUCUUUUCGGUGAAAACAACGGUUUGAUCUUCCUGCUUUUGUUGCUGCCAUUCCUGCUCAGUAAUUCUAACGGAGGACUCCUCGGUUAAUUUGUUAUCCAACAUGUUAUAUCUGUCUCUGCAACUACUAUAUAUAUAUAUAUAUGUCUCGCGCAAUAUCACGUUAUGUUAGGCUGAUCUGUGGAAAUCCCUCUGUUCAUUGUUGUGUUUAUGUAUUCAAAUAUUAUUGUUGUUUCCGCUCAUCAUUCAUCAAUAAAAAUUGCACAAUUAAA